GGGCCCCCGAGCAGUAGGAGGGAGAAAGCUGGGGCCGGGCAAGGGGAGUCCUAGGACGUCUGGGUUCCAGAAAAGUCGAGGGCGCUCCCCGCGAGCUUGACUCAUCGGACCUGCAGGCCUCUCGGGGGUGUCGUAGAAAGGACUGCUGUUGGGGCUCCGGGGCUGCUGCGGUCACUGCAAUGUGAAGGAGUCCGUUGCCCACCUCAGCCUGCAGUUUUUAUUUAGGAGUCAGAAGUACAUACAAGAGGAAGUACCUUAAGUGUGACCAAGAAAAAUAAGGAAAGGCAAGUGAGACAUGAACAUUGAAGAUGUGACUGUGAUUAAUUGAUAAUUUACCCCCAGCCGGUGAGCUGUUGACAAUUCAGGUUGCUGAACUUACCAGGAUUGCAUGCUCAAUGAAACUCUCUUUCCUGGAGUCUGAACACCUCAGAUGUGACCAGUGUCUCUUCUUGAUGGACUGAUGUAGUUACUUGUUUCUGCUGUUCAUUCCAUGAAGGU